ACGCCGGGCGGGCAGCAGGGGCGAGUCCGCGCUUCCCUGGAGCCGAAAGGAGCACUGCGGCCGGUGACCCCGGGCGGAAACCUGUUGGGAGCGCACCGGAAGUAGCCGUCCACAGAGGUCUGCGCACCUGCUCUCGGUCUGCUCUGAGACACCCGGAUGACCGCCCACUCGGUGGUUCAACGGUCCCCGACAGGAGCUCCGGGUCCGGGCAAGGAAGGGGCCAGUUGGGCUCUUAGUGUGAAGCGACUGUGGGACAUCCUGGUGAAGACAGGACCUAAAGCCGGCAGAUGCUGCUGUGAUGUAGAUGCAAAUUGGGGCGUCUUGAUGGUCAGUGAUGCCACUGAGCUCGCGAGGUCGCCCAGAGACAGUGUUGAGUGAGAAGCGGCCCUGGUGCCCCUGGGGCUGUUGAAGAGGGAAGAGGCGCCCUGGGCAUGGAGACCGCUGGGGCGGCCCUGGAUGGGAGGGGAGGGACCCAGGGGCCAGUUGCCACAGAGUCCCUCAUGGAACUAGGCCCCUGAGACCUCAGUGUUGCUCAGGACUGUUGAGUUCCUUGGAGAAUGAGAACUAAGGACCGAAGGUAGGAAAAAUAACUUGACUUCUCUGUAGGAAAAAUAGGUAUCUCGGGAAUGUUUCCAGGUGGCUGUGGUUGAUGAUAUCCACAGCAGGAGCCCGGAAGCAACAUGUCAGAACCUUAGUCUUUUCACCCAUUUGGGGAAAAAGUUAUCUCCUGGUCACAAAGAUAAAGUUGCCUUUGACCAUUAGCCUACUAAAGUCCACUGUGGUGGUAAUGAGAGGUGAAGCCAGCUGGACUUCCUGGGUCGAGUGGGGACUCAGAGAACGUUUCUGUCUUACAAGGAGAUUGUAAAAUGCACUAAUCAGCACUCUGUAGCUAGCUAGAGGUUUGUAAAAUGCACCAGUCAGUGCUCUGUAGAGCUAGCUAGAGGUUUGUAAAAUGGACCAAUCAGCACUCUGUAAAAUGGACCAAUCAGCAGGACAUGAGCAGGGACAAAUAAGGGAAUAAAAGCUGACCACCCUCCAGCCAGCAGGGA
rnacentral:lncRNA from 1 species